rnacentral:lncRNA from 1 species
AAACCUCUAAAUCUAAGAUUACACAGACAAAAUCAAAUCAAACACCCAAAGUUGGCGCAAUGUUCUUGCAUGCAUGUCACAAGAAGAUUUUAUUACUAGACGUCAUUGUCCAUUGUUAACAUGAUGCUAGAGUGCAACUCUAGUUACAAACGAUGCAAACACAUUGACGUUGAAAAAAAGAUGUGCCGCCGACGCAGUAGGAUCCCUUGACAUGGCCCCACUCAUCCCUGCACAUACUCCGGCAAUAGUAAGGCAUGCACAUAAAGUCCGGUGUGCUGUGUGUUUCGCAAUGCUCUGUAGACAACAUACAUACAUCAGGAAAAGAAUUUCAAAUUGAAAGCGUCCAAAUGAAUUCAUGCAGUUGGGUUGACAAUAUUUAUAUGACUUGUUCUACUCCAAUUGAAAGGAGAAAAAAAGAGAACCACAAAUAUAGGAACAUAAAUUCCAUACCUGCGUGAGUGAAAUUUCCUAGUAGCACAAGGACCAUAAGACAAGGAAGAAGAAUUUUUCCUUCCAUAAGAUUAGACUAUCAAGGCUGAAUGCUUUUCUCUACUUGAAAAUGGCUUGGCUUUACAGCGAAGAGGUCAAC